UACGUAGGCAGCGAGCGUUGUUCGGAGUUACUGGGCGUAAAGCGUGCGUAGGCGGUGUCUUAAGUUUGUUGUGAAAUCUCCCGGCUUAACCGGGAGGGUGCGGCGAAUACUGAGAUGCUGGAGUGCCGGAGAGGUAAGCGGAAUUCCUGGUGUAGCGGUGAAAUGCGUAGAUAUCAGGAGGAACACCUGCGGUGUAGACGGCUUACUGGACGGUAACUGACGCUGAUGCACGAAAGCGUGGGUAGCAAACAGG
rnacentral:rRNA from 1 species